UUGUAAGCUAAUUCUAUUCCCAAGACCGUAAGUGCCGAAAGGCUUGAUGCGCAAGCGCUUACCGAGGAAAAGCUAUAUAGCCUUUUUCUUGUCUGCGGGAUAUGCCCGCAUUUUUAUUUGGAACC
rfam:Candidatus Ryanbacteria bacterium RIFCSPHIGHO2_01_FTLL_48_27 rifcsphigho2_01_scaffold_3298, whole genome shotgun sequence.